AUACGUAGGGUGCAAGCGUUAAUCGGAAUUACUGGGCGUAAAGCGUGCGCAGGCGGGCGAUUAAGUCAGCGGUGAAAGGCUCGGGCUCAACCGGAGCAGUGCCGUUGAUACUGGUUGUCUUGAAUGCGGUCAAGGCCGGCGGAAUGUGGCGUGUAGCGGUGAAAUGCAUAGAUAUGCCACAGAACACCGAUAGCGAAGGCAGCUGGCCGGGCCUGCAUUGACGCUGAGGCACGAAAGCGUGGGGAUCGAACAGGAUUAGAUACCCUGGUAGUCCACGCUGUAAACGAUGGACACUCGUUGUCGGCGACAGACAGUCGGCGGCCAAGCGAAAGUGAUAAGUGUCCCACCUGGGGAGUACGGUCGCAAGGCUGAAACUUAAAGGAAUUGGCGGGG
rnacentral:rRNA from 1 species